rnacentral:rRNA from 1 species
GAUGAACGCUGGCGGCGUGCCUAAUACAUGCAAGUCGAGCGAACAGACGAGGAGCUUGCUCCUCUGACGUUAGCGGCGGACGGGUGAGUAACACGUGGAUAACCUACCUAUAAGACUGGGAUAACUUCGGGAAACCGGAGCUAAUACCGGAUAAUAUAUUGAACCGCAUGGUUCAAUAGUGAAAGACGGUUUUGCUGUCACUUAUAGAUGGAUCCGCGCCGCAUUAGCUAGUUGGUAAGGUAACGGCUUACCAAGGCAACGAUGCGUAGCCGACCUACGAGGGUGAUCGGCCACAAGAGAGCUGAGACACGGUCAAGACUCCUACGGGAGGCAGCAGUAGGGAAUCUUCCGCAAUGGGCGAAAGCAUGACGGAGCAACGCCGCGUGAGUGAUGAAUGUCUUCGGAUCGUAAAACUCUGUUAUUAGGGAAGAACAAAUGUGUAAGUAACUAUGCACGUCUUGACGGUACCUAAUCAGAAAGCCACGGCUAACUACGUG